CCUCCAGCCAGGUACACGAAGGGCAGCAACAGGGGUGCCACUGUGGUCAGGUCAAUUAAGUGAAUUCUGGGAAACAUCUUGACCUGCUUAUUCUUCUUCACCUGCUGCUUGUGUGUGUGUGUGUGUGUGUGUGUGUGUGUGUGUGUGUGUGUGUGUGUGUGUGUGUGUGGCCAGGUAAGGUUAAUCAGGUAUGUGGCCAGGUAAGAUAGAGUAGACAGGUGUGUAUGUGGCCAGGUGAUGUAAUGACAGGUGUGUAUGUGGCCAGGUGAUGUAAUGACAGGUGUGUUUGUCCAGGUGAUAUUUCUUCCGCUUUCUUUGUUCUUAUAUUUCUUUUCUUCUUCCUCUUCUUCUUCUUCUUCUUUUUCUUCUCUUCUUCUCACAUUUUUCUAUUUAUUUUCCUCGUUUCUUUUCUUCGUUCUAGUGUAUUUCAA